rnacentral:SRP_RNA from 1 species
GCCGGGCGUGGUGGCGGGCACCUGUAGUCCCAGCUACUCAGGAGGCUGAGGCAGGAGAAUCGCUUGAACCCAGGAGGCAGAGGCUGCAGUGAGCCGAGAUGGUGCCACUGCACUAUAGCCUGGGUGACAGAGCAAGACUCUGCCUCAA